rnacentral:rRNA from 1 species
UACGUAGGGCGCAAGCGUUGUCCGGAAUUAUUGGGCGUAAAGAGCUCGUAGGCGGUGUGUCGCGUCGGAUGUGAAAGCCCGGGGCUUAACCCCGGGUCUGCAUUCGAUACGGGCAGGCUAGAGUUCGGUAGGGGAGACUGGAAUUCCUGGUGUAGCGGUGAAAUGCGCAGAUAUCAGGAGGAACACCGGUGGCGAAGGCGGGUCUCUGGGCCGAUACUGACGCUGAGGAGCGAAAGCGUGGGGAGCGAACAGG